rnacentral:rRNA from 1 species
UGCGUAAUAGCUCACUGGUCGAGUGACUCUGCGCCGAAAAUUUAACGGGGCUAAACUAUACACCGAAGCUUGGGAUACAUCUAAUGUAUGGUAGGAGAGCGUUCUGUAUGGGGAGAAGUCGUAGCGAAAGCGGCGGUGGACUAUACAGAAGUGAGAAUGCCGGAAUAAGUAGCGAGAAUUAAGUGAGAAUCUUAAUGGCCGAAAGUCUAAGGUUUUUGGAGGAAGGUUCGUCCGCUCCAAGUAAGUCGGGAGCUAAGGUCAGGCCGAAAGGCGUAGCCGAUGCACAUACGGUUGAUAUUCCGUAACCAUCUGUAAUUUAAGCAAAGGGACACUUCAAAAGGGUGUGACCCGGGCGUUGGUUGACCCGGGCGUAAGGGACCGAAAUUAGAGUAGGGAAGCACACUUAGCUGAAGGCGAGAAAAGCUUUGCGUAUAGAAACAGAUGCCCGUACCGCAAACCGACACAGGUGGACAGGAAGAGAAUUCUAAGGCCAGCGGGAGAAGGGUAGUUAAGGAACUCGGCAAAUUGACUCCGUAACUUCGGAAUAAGGAGUGCUCGAAAGAGCCGCAGAGAAUAGGCCCAGGCGACUGUUUAGCAAAAACACAGGUCUCUGCCAAAUCGAAAGAUGAAGUAUAGGGGCUGACACCUGCCCGGUGCCGGAAGGUUAAGAGGAGGAGUGAGAGCUCCGAAUUGAAGCCCCGGUAAACGGCGGCCGUAACUAUAACGGUCCUAAGGUAGCGAAAUUCCUUGUCAGGUAAGUUCUGACCCGCACGAAUGGCGUAAUGAUUUGGGCACUGUCUCAACAGCCCGCCCGGCGAAAUUGUAGUACUGGUGAAGAUGCCAGUUACCCGCAACUAGACGGAAAGACCCCAUGGAGCUUUACUGUAGCCUAAUACUGAAGAUCGGUAAUGCAUGUACAGGAUAGGUGGGAGCCAGCGAAACCCGGGCGUCAGCUCGGAUGGAGGCAACCUUGGAAUACCACCCUUGUAUUGCUGGUUUUCUAACCUGCGGCCAUGAAUCUGGUCGGGGGACACUGUUAGGUGGGCAGUUUGACUGGGGCGGUCGCCUCCAAAAGCGUAACGGAGGCGCUCAAAGGUUGGCUCAGCACGGACGGAAAUCGUGCAUAGAGUGCAAACGCAUAAGCCAACUUGACUGCGAGACCGACGGGUCGAGCAGGUACGAAAGUAGGAGUUAGUGAUCCGGUGGUAUGUGAGUGGAAAUGCCAUCGCUCAACGGAUAAAAGUUACCCUGGGGAUAACAGGCUGAUCUCCCCCAAGAGUCCACAUCGACGGGGAGGUUUGGCACCUCGAUGUCGGCUCAUCACAUCCUGGGGCUGUAUUCGGUCCCAAGGGUUCGGCUGUUCGCCGAUUAAAGUGGCACGCGAGCUGGGUUCAGAACGUCGUGAGACAGUUCGGUCCCUAUCUGUUGCGGGCGUAAGAGAUUUGAAGGGAGCUGUCCUUAGUACGAGAGGACCGGGAUGGACGUACCUCUGGUGCACCAGUUGUCCUGCCAAGGGCAUAGCUGGGUAGCUAUGUACGGACGAGAUAAACGCUGAAAGCAUCUAAGCGUGAAACUCUCCCUAAGAUGAGAUCUCUCAUCCUUUAUGGAGUAAGGGCCCAGAAAGACGAUCUGGUUGAUAGGCCGGAGGUGGAAGUGCAGUAAUGUAUGCAGCUGACCGGUACUAAUAGCCCGAGGGCUUGACCU